UACCAGCUCUCCGAGUGGUGUGGACGUUUAUUGGGCCUAAAGCAUCCGUAGCUGGCUGAGCAAGUCCCCUGUUAAACCCACCGAUUUAAUCGUUGGCUUGCGGGGAAACUGCUCAGCUAGGGGACGAGAGAGGCAGACGGUAUUCCCGGGGUAGGGGUGAAAUCCUAUAAUCCCGAGAAGACCACCAGUGGCGAAGGCUGUCUGCUAGAGCGCGCCCGACGGUGAGGGAUGAAAGCUGGGGGAGCGAACCGGAUUAGAUACCCGGGUAGUCCCAGCUGUAAACGAUGCAGACUAGGUGUUUGGACGGCCACGUGCCGUUCUAGUGCCGCAGGGAAGCUGUUAAGUCUGCCGCCUGGGGAGUACGAUCGCAAGAUUGAAACUUAAAGGAAUUGGCGGGGGAGCACCACAAGGGGUGAAGCUUGCGGUUUAAUUGGAGUCAACGCCGGAAAUCUCACCGGGAGCGACAGCAGUUUGAAGGCCAGAUUAAAGGUCUUGCCAGACGAGCUGAGAGGAGGUGCAUGGCCGUCGCCAGUUCGUGCCGUGAGGUGUCCUGUUAAGUCAGGCAACGAUCGAGACCCGCGUCCUCUGUUGCAACCAGUCUUGUGCUGGGCACACUGAGGAGACCGCCGCUGAUAAAGCGGAGGAAGGAGCGGGCCACGGCAGGUCAGUAUGCCCCGAAUCUCCCGGGCCACACGCGAGCUGCAAUGGCGGGUACAAUGGGUUCCGACCUUGAAAAGGGAAGGCAAUCUCGAAAGCCUGCCGUAGUUGGGAUCGAGGGCUGUAACCCGCCCUCGUGAACAUGGAAUCCCUAGUAAUCGCGUGUCAUCAGCGCGCGGUGAAUACGUCCCUGCUCCU
rnacentral:rRNA from 1 species